GGGAGCCUGAUGUGGGGCUCAAUCUCAGGACCCUGGGAUCAUGACCUGAGCUGAAGUCAGACACUUAACUGACUGAGCCACCCAGGUGCCCCAAGAGUUCUAUUUAAUAAACACUUAGAUAUGUCAGAGUUUUCACUAAAAGGUCUAUACAAACUUACAGUACAAAGAAUUUUUUUCAGUUCUUUUUUGAAAAUUGUUGCUGUAAUAUUAGACCUCUCCAAUCUAAGAAGCUUGCAAGUACUGUUGUCAUGAACUAUUUCUUAAAAUUUUCUCAAUAACUUUAUCAGAACAGCAACAUAAAUUUUUUUCAAAGAAAUUUAAAAUAUUCUGACGGACUGAACUUUUUUCUCUAGAUAAAAGCCAAGUAUUCUUAGAGUCUAAAUCAGUCUGUGUGCUUAUUUAGGUUUUUUGGUGUUUUGUUGUUUUGGUUUCUUAAGUGUGUUUAGGUUUGUUAUGAAAAGGAAACCUAUUUCUAAACUCCCCACAUUUAAUAUAUGAGCACCUUAAAAGGGGAGGAGCUUUUGGGGCACCUGGCUGUUCUGUUGCUAGAGCAUGCAACUCUGCAUCUUGGGGUUGGUAGGUUCAAGCUCCACUUGAGUGUAGAGGUCAUUUAAAUGUAAAAUCUUCUAUGGGUGCCUGGGAGGUGCAGGCAGGUAAACUGCUACCUUCAGCUCAGGUCAUGAUCCCGGGGUCCUGGGAUCAAGCCUUGAGUUGGGCUCCCUUCUCAGUGGGGAAACUGCUUCUCCCUUUCCUCCCCACUCAAGCUGUCUGUCGCUAUCUCUCCCUCCCGCUCAAAUAAAAUGUUUAAAAAUAAAAUCUUCUAAAAAACAUUUUUUUAAGGGGAGUGGGGGAGAGUGGCACGUAUAUGGCUCAGUUGGUGGAGGGUGUGACCCUUGGUCUCCAGGUUGUGAGUCAGAACUGCACUUUGGGUGUAGAGAGUACUUUAAAAAAUCUGAAUGGGGGCAGGGAGGAGCUAUCAGCUAUUAUGUAAAGAUAGUGACAUUUCCUCCUACAGCUAUUACAAAGAAUCAAUUCUGAGAUGUUUUAGACAGUGUGAUUUUUUUUUUUAAGUUUUUUUUUGUUUUGUUUAUUUGACAGAGCACAAGCAGGGGGAGCAGCAAGGAGAGGAAGAAGGGGCUCGCUCCCCGGGCCCCAGGAUCAUGACCCAUGCUGAAGGCGGACAACCAACUGGUUGAGCCACCUAGGCACCCCCUAUACAGUGUGAUCUUUUAAUUAAGGUUAAUGUUUUCCAUUAAAGCUCAAACCAGUAACUUUAAAUUCUGUGCAACUCAGUGGAAAGAAGCAGCACUUCAUCUAAUAUUAGUAACUUAUGAGUAGUAGAUCUUAUAUUGAGCUAGGUCUUUAAGGAUCCACUUCAACAUAGAAAAUUUGGUGAUAAUGCCAGUAAAUCAUCUAAUUCCAUGUGUUGGUAUCCUUUUCACCAACCAGCUCUGAGUAUAAUUACACUUUGAGUAUAAUUACACUUUUUGUGUUGUAAUGGAGGUAAAGUACUGGCCGAAGAGAUUUAAGUUUCCUUUCUUAACAAACUGAUAAAACACCUUUUUUUGUUUUUUAAAAACAUAACCUGUCUCCUGGUUGCUGUGCCUUCAGCCUGAGAGACAUCAAGUUUGCUUAUCUUAAUAAGAUCAGGUAUGUUUGAGCUCCCACACCUUAGGUAAAUAAGCAUUGUUUUGAAUUUUACAUCACUUAUAAAAGCUAAAUACAAGGAACUACAGUUAUUUCAGCAAGUCAGUAAUACAGCCAAACCUAGGGAGAUACAUAUGAAAAAAAUACAGUAAAUACAAAAAAAUCUUCCAUCAAGUUGGCAAUAAACAUUGUGUGAGAGAGUGUUUCUGAGAAUAUGGACAUGUCUUAGUCUGGAGUAACUUCUACCAUGGUCACUGUAUUAUCCAGAAGAUUAACCAGGGGAAAAAAAUACAAUUAAUUUCCCUUAGAUCAAAGUUAAGGUCAACCAGGUCUCUCCUGCUGAUUCUGCCAAGCUAGUUGCUCCACUACGCUUCACUGGGUGCUAGGUAGGAACAGUGGGAAUCUUGUUAUCCAUUCAUAGGCGUCACUGUUGAGAUAAUGAGGUAUUUGGCUACCCUGAGAGUUGUGGUUACUCUAUGAUACCCUCAUUUCAUUGGAUUUCUUUAUUUUGACAUUUGAAGCACUGGGCAGAAGUCACUAGUUUGGGGGACUUGGGUUAUUUUUUUAAAGUUAAAGGAUUGGGAUUCUCCGAAUUGGAUAACAAAGUAGUCCACCUCAUUAGCUAUGGGUUUUUUUAAUGUGAUAGGCAAAAGACAACACAAUUGCAUUUAAGGGUAACUGAGUAAGAUAAGGAAUUGUGUAAGAAAGAAAUUUUUUUUAAGGACUAGACUUUAAAUCAUCCUGCCUAAUAAAGUCAUGGCUGAAAGGAUAAAUGAGGUGUGGAAUUUAGUCCUUCCAACAUUCCACCGUGUUAAUCAUUCUUCCUGUUCAGAGAGGCAGCAAAGAGUAAUUUGAGUGGCUGCGGUUAUAAAUAAUGUGCCAUAUAAGCUCCCAAGGGCUGAGAUAAGGGGGUUAUGAUUGUCAAAGAGAAGAACUUCAUUCUCUUUUGUUUAUCAUUUGAUGGUUUCUGUUGCCCCUAGAGAGUCAUCUUAAUUAAGGUCACUAUUUCUAAAACCAGAGUUCACCAAGUGCCAAAUACAUGAACAAGAAAAUACCCUAUUAAACUUCUCUCAAACCACUGUAUUUUUUUAAGACUUUAUUUUUAAGUAAUCUCUGCACCCAAUAUGGGGCCGAACUCAUAACCCCAAGAUCAGAAGUUGCACAUUCCACCAACUGAGCCAUGCAGGCACCCCUCAAACACUACGUAUCUUAAGAGAGCAGGGUUAUCUGCAGGUUUGCUCCAUUCAGCAUAAGCUUAACAAGUAUUAGUGGAGACUGGUUGAAUUUAGGAUCAACCUAAAAUCCUCUAAGGUAUCCAGUGUUAACUAAUUACUCUCCCUCUUUAUGCAAGCUUUAGUUUGCCUAAAAAGUGAUUGACUUUUCUUCAAAUAGCCACAGUGAUUUGGGGGCAGUUCAUCUUCAUCGUAUCUUUGGACAGCUCUUUUAGGCUGUAGAACUGAAUACAAGAUCCUAAAUUAAUUCUGUGCCACAGAAACCUGAGUAAAAUAAGGAAUUGGGUGGGUAAGUAGCAAACAACAUAGGUUAUUAGGACAUGUAGCUCACUCCAUAAGUAAACUGAGAAACUUAACCAGGUUAUUAGGGUUGUUGUUUGUUUUUGAACUAUUGUGAUUUUCAGAUCUGUGGGAAUAUUUUCAUAAAAUAACUCUAGUUUUCAUUAUGUUAGCUUAGAAUUGCAGUAGCAAGUUUUAGGACCUAUUUGAGAUGUGAGAUAAAAACAUGUAACAGAUUAUACAUAUAUGAUUGUAGCAUUGUUUCAAUAAACUUAAAUCAUUUUAAGUGA